UUCCGUAGGGUAACCUGCGGAGGGAUCAUUACUGAGUUAUUCAAAACUAGCAACCCUUUGUGAACUUACACGCUGCUGCCUCUCCGAGGUGUGCUAYCCUAUAGCUACCCUGUAGCUACCCGUGAACAUAUUCCAAGCUUGCCAGAGGACCUACCAACUCUGUYUUAUMCUGUAUCUCUGAACUUUAUAACUAAAUAACUUAAAACUUUCAACAACGGAUCUCUUGGUUCUGGUAUCGAUGAAUAGCGCARAUAAAUGCRAUAACUAAUGUGAAUUGAAGAAUUCAGUGAAUCAUCGAAUCUUUGAACGCACAUUGCCCCCAUUAGUAUUCUACUGGGCAUGCCUAUUCGAGCGKCAUUUCAACCCUUAAGCCUCAGCUUGCUUAGUAUUGGGACUCUACGACCUAUUAUAGCGGUAGUUCCUUAAAGUUAGUGGGGGAUGUAUAGCCCACUCUAAGCGUAGUAAUUCUCUCUCRCUUCUUGUAGUGGUUAUAGUUGCUAGCCAUAAACACCCCCUAUUUUAAUGGACGACCUCAGAUUAGGAAGGAAUACCCGCUGAACUUAAGCAUAUCAAUAAGCCGGAGGAAA
rnacentral:rRNA from 1 species